UCACCAGGAUUGACGUCACCUUUCAGUAGUGAGAUGACCUGACUUGACGUUACCUUUGAUCGUUUGGCCUCUUCCACCUUCCGUUUUAGACUCUUGACUUCCCUGGUUUUGUCUUUGGUUUUGUCAAGCGCCUGCUGAACCCCGAUGUAGUUACUGCUAAAGGGGGUAUCUUGGAGAUGUUUCUAAAAUUAAAUCAAAAGAAAAAUGUAGAAAGAUUCUGAGUGUGCCAAUAAUAUCAAAGACUGGAACAUGGCGUGAAUAUUUUGAAACAGGAGACCAAGAUGUCAACAUUUGUAGAAGGUAGAGUCAACAUAUCUAUGGAAUUUGGGGGGUCUUUUGCACAGUUUGUAACGCUAAUCCUCAAUACGCCAUUACACUUUCAUUUACCUGUUAAAUACUGACCCACUUAUCGAUUACAGUGACCUAAAUAUAACACAAAAUCGACAAAACUUUCGGUCUCUGUUGAACUUGGGUGACAAAGUCGUGCCAUAAUUUCAAGAGCGAGCUUCUUGGACAUGUGGGUGGUUCGAGGCAAUGUAAAUUUUAAAAAACCAAACAAAAAGUCAUGCUGUCCCGCAUGGGCUCCCUAAAGUAGAAUGAUCGAUUUCUGAUAGGGAUCGUGUCAAUAGCCAAUGCAUACCUAUCAUAUCAACAAUGUAUGUCAAUGAAUGAAUUCUCUUUUCAUAGAAAAAUACUCGCGGAAUUUUCAUAUCGUCAGGGAACUCCUUGUCAUGUCUGUAUUAAGACAGGUAAGAUAUUUAUAGACCGGCAAUUUAAAUGGAUAUCUUUUUUGCACUUGAUGUGCACACCUGUAGGCUAAAUUGUCGUUUUUCAUUUGACCGUCUUACCUGUUUAUCUCUGAGGAUCUGUAGCAGCUUCUGGGUCCCUCCCGGAUCCCGGUGGGACGCCAUGACUGGAAAAAAUCUGUUCCGAAAAAAGAAAAUAUGCGAAACUCACUACACAGUCAUCUUAAUAUGACAAGAAAUGUAAACAGAGCAGGCGGAUCCCGCGAUUUGCAGACAACACGAACGUGAAACGGACAUCGAUAACGAUAGCAGGUAGGAUGUCACUGGACAAAUAUUUAUCAGAGUUACGUCAACGAACUUCACACAGGGUCGUUUCAAGUUAAGGCUCUAUGGGUCUGCAUGAAUAGAGCUUCAUUAGAGGUUGAACAUCUUAAAUCCUGAAUAUUGGUGUAUAAGCUUUUUUCUCAUCGCCCUUGGCUGUCAUGGGGUUUUGCGUCUAAAGAAAUGCGUGUUUUUAAGAUCAGAUUUUUUGUUUAAAAUAUAUACUAGAGAAUGGUCACGGUUCUAACUUUGUUAUGUCAUUCUAAGGUUGAAUAAACUAUCAUCUGUCGUAUGUGCCAAGUGUUGUUUGUUUUGUAAACAAAUAAGACCUGAUGGCAAGUGGUGAUAUACCCUACACUGCACAAAAAACCAUUCAGUUGAUAAAAACAGCGUGAACACGAGACUCUGACUGACGAUAAACCGUAACAGAAGAAAAUGGACAGUCACACCACGGACAUUGUUGAAGUCUAAAAUCCCUCCUGCAAGUUUAGAAUAUUAGAUUUAAAAAACUUAAAGAAGCAUUAAUCAGUUACCAAAAAUUUUAUUCAAUGAAAAUUGCUCUAUAUUGUAUAUUUCAGUAAUAACACAGUAUUUUAAAAAUUAUUUCACACACUUUUUAACCUCAAAGCAGGCACAUGAAUAUGUAAUUUUGAUGAUUAAAUAAUUAUUGUGUCAGUGCAAGACAAUAAUUCUUCCUUAUAUAUUUCUGUACAAUGAAAGCCGUUAUCUAACGUAGUCGUAUUAGGUUUCUCUUGUUUUUGUACAAAAUAAAUAUUUUUAUUAGUCAUAAAUAUAUAUAUUCCUUAGCCACUGAGAGAUUUUGAAGAGAAAAAGGUUGCCAUCACAGCAUAUCUUCCUUUAAAUCGAAGCGACCUUUACUACAACAAUAUGACCAAAGCCUUUAAUGAUAUACUCGAAGAGACAUAAUUACACAAAUAUGUCAUAAAACUCGUAAACACGUAAUAAACAAUAACUCGUGCAUUCCUUGACAGAAUAAAAAAACAACAGCGGUUUUCUAUUAUCGACCUCCGGGCAAUAUUAUGUAAAUUUUAAUGUAGCGUACAUAUCGUCUUCUCUGUACUGAUCCCGUGAAGAAGACUGGGGAGAUAUGGCCUUUACCCCCGUCAUGGUCAAUUGACAACAACCUAUCUCUAUUAUAUAGGACCCUCCAGGAAGAAUUAAGACAUUUACCUUGACAAUUAAAAAUGAUACUAUGACGAAAUAGAGAGGAUUUGAGUGUACUUGAUAUGAAAGGCAAAGAACAGAACCUCCAAAUCGUGGGUCUGAUGAAUAGCAGGCCUGACGCCUUUGUGAAAGCCCUUGUGAAAGAUUCAACAUCUUCAAACGCACCUUGAUUAGAAACCAGCAUCCAAAACUCGUCCAGCCACAUUAGAAUAUUCAUAAACUUGUGGACUGAAUGGAAUCUCAAAUGUUGCAGAAAUUAACCCCUAAUUUCAAACGAUACAUGAGAUACCGCGAUAAAAUUUAAAAGAAUGAUGAAUCAAUGUUGAGGAGCUGUGGAACUGGUUGUAAAUACAGUGUAUAUGCUGACAAAACCCAUAAAUAAAACUGAAUAAAAAUGGAACCUACGCACUGGCCAGGCCAAACACCAUGGGGGCUUGUGACACUAAAACACAAAUUCUUUGUGUCCCUGGGAAUGGAUGACAUGGAAAAUGUGUUCAUAAUCUGGUCAGAUAAGUGGAAAGAAAGCAGUAGUUGGUUUAUAAUGAGUAAGGCGAUACACUUAUGGGCCCGGACAUCGCACCUACUAUUACUGGGAAUUUAUACCGUGUCGCCCUCUUAUACAUUUCUUCGAAAAACAUUUUUCCUCUUUCCUUUAUAUACAAUUUCACGAUAGAUUUGAAAUUUACAACUAUUUAAAGUGAAGGAAAGGAAGAUUAAAAAUUUCUUUAUCGUACAAACAUUUCUCAUCUCUAGAUAAACGUGCUUCGUUAUAAAAUAAACUCUUUCUAAAACUUUCGUUUUCGGCAAAGCAGCUUCCCCCCAGCACCUGUACAUACAUCUUAUUACAAUGCAGUAAUGGAUAUGAUAUCUUCGGAAUGAGUAAAUCCCAUCGAACACUUUGAAGAGACCCUGUCCACAUCACUGCAUCUCGUAGAAGAUUUGCUGACGGGUAAGGAAUCCAUAUUUUAUCUUUUGAGUCAUGGGAAACAUCAGUUUGAAAAAAGGGCCUGAAUCAUUGAUGUAGAAAACGUAAGCCAUGCUUUGCGUUUUAUUUGAUAAUAAUUCUGCACUAAUUAUAAAAAAAAAAAAAAAAAAAAAUCUAAAAGAUAAAUAUAGCAAUCUUAAGAAUUACUGGCUUUAAUCUUUGCCGACAUUUUUAAGUAGCAUUUUGAUUUUUGCCAUACAUGCAAGGGCAGUUUAUUAAAACGUCGACUUCGUAUAUUAAACAUGCGUGUUAGUCAACGAUAAAUAUCUCCUUAAACCCUUAUUUGUAUAGAAACCGACCGUAUAGUAUAUAUGUCCAAACAUUUAUGGUUAAAUCUUAAUCAAAGCUUUCACUGAGAAAAACUAAUACAUUGGUAUAAGAAGGUGUUUGUGUAUUGGAAAAGGUUUUCGAGGAUUACGCUCAAUGUAAUUCCCACAUUCCAAUCUAAUAGAUAAAUGUUUUUACACAGUUUCGUCUUUUUAAAGACAGUUUAUCAAAAUUUAAAUCGUGCCAUGAAUGGUUUCAGAUUUAUAAUACACGCAUGAUUACUUUAUCAAAAGAGAAGAGUAAUGUCGACAGAAAUUCUGCAAACAGGUUUAGAUGACUUUUGGUAAUAUCGACAGAAAUUCUGCAAACAGGUUUAGAUGACUUUUGGUGUUUGUCGUAGGCCUGACAGAACAAUGGCGGAGAAAGGCAGCUUCCUUUGCCUCUGAAACCAACAAUACACUAGCUAUAGUGGUGACGUCAUCUCUGAAAUUGUACUCCAGCCCACCGUCACAAAGUGACAGUUCCCAGGCAGUGUUUGUUUGUCAUGCUGCAAUUUGUCAUAAUUCCUGUUGGGAUCGAUUGGUUGUGAUCAGACAACAAUAAUAAUCAAGUAUCAAGACAUGAAUCGAUCACUUGUAGGAGGUUUAUGUAAAUGUCCCAGGUCCAGUACCAUGAUGGGCCACACCUGCAAGUCAAUAACAACUGAGGUAUCUUAUGAUAGGGCUGCUGUGUCACCCCAGUUUAACAACCUCUGUGAACCACAAAUAUCGCCCCUUAAUUUGUACUUCCUCUUGGCACGUGAGAUCGCAGCGACACCAAGCGUCAAAGAUACCAUUUAUCGUCGGCACUCGGUCUUCCGAAGAAUGGAAAUGACCGAGUGGCUAUAAUUGUCAUCUUCGGACUAUCAAUGAUCUGCAUUCCGUAAUCUAUUUGAAAACCAAUGCUCAUAGUGAAAUUUACAAGUUCACGUAGCACGAGAUUUAUCCGGAACAACAUGCAGCGCAUUAGUUUUACAAAAGCAGGAAGGUUGGUAAAGAAUGUCAUAGAUGCAAACGGAAUAAAUUAGGACAUUUUUGGGGAACUAGAAAUGCAGCAGUAUCUAACUGGAGGAUCAUAAACAGUGAUCCAGACGGAACAAAAGGUGCAAUUACUCACCUGUAUUAAUUGACUCAAUCCAGACGGGUCACGGGUAAGGCAAUCAAAGGAACUACGGAACGUUCGACCUUUUCACUCUAGACGUUAUAUACAUACCAUACCAUGAGCCCUGUGUUUUGGUGGGUAUUAGCCGUCCUUAUAGAAAACUGAAAAGCCUAUUAAAUCCUUUCUUGGUCUAAUCCUUCCUGUAAUAUUUCACUAUUCACAGCUAUUUAUUUCGGUCUUUAAGCAUAGAGCGAAGUUACAGUUAAAACCUGUAGCUCUCUUUCCUAUCAUUUAUCACAUUAAACGAUUGCUCAAUAAACGACAGAUUUCUCGGGUCGUUUUUGAGUCUUUACAAUAAAGUAUGUACUCAUAAUGUACAUUACUUCGAAUUUCAAAAACGACCUAAUUUUACGAUUUGCAGCAGAGCAGUUUUGUUGGAGAUGAAUAGAAACAUGUUGACAGAAGUAUCUGGUUUCAUGUAAGGGUUUAGAGCGCCAGUUCUAUGAUUGGUCGUACUAUUGAACGAGACAUCAAAUAAUGUAUUUUAUGAUUUAAUUCGACAUGCUAUAUGCAGCUCUAUUGUUUUGUGUGUCGAUUCCAACACGGGGACUACUUGAUCAUCGAUACGAGAUAGCUUAUUUCAUUAGAAGCUUUUCUGUCGGGGGAGUUCAACAAGUAAUUCAUUAAUGGACACCGUUAUCUGUGUUUUAAAUUUAGCGGAACCAUCAUCACGUGAGUAUAAGACAGAAUUGAAACCGCCGUCAGAUAUUGUUGUCGAGCAGAAGUUUGAUAAAAAAGAAAAGAAAAAAAGAGGGUCCCCAGAAUAAAGGUUACACUCCCCUAAGCACAAAAUGGAGACCAAAACUUUGUGACAGAGGACCAGAUCCUUGUAGACAAUCGAAGGCUUUGGGACCAACGAAGAAAAACACACAUAGUUCGCUUGGGUAGAGCUGAUACUGCCUGUCUAUUAAUUAAUCAUUAGUUCCCAGUGUUAAUGGGACGGUACGUAUUGUCAGUCACAAAUAUGAAAUAUGUGGAUUGAUCAAAGGAUGAAAUUAGCGUCCAACUGUUCCCUGCCAUUUUGUGCUUUAUCGACGUCCUUGCACCGAGACCGUCAACAGAAAAGCAAAAGAGGCAAUUUACGGUGGGCAACAAAACUCGGUUCAUUUUAUUUAAACGAUUUGUAAACAGAGAAGGGCGUUUGAUCAAAGCACGGGAAAUAAGUCAUUAAACAAACUGAAAUUGAAUUUCAACUAAACUCAUGGUGUAACACACAUAGGAACCAAUCAUUAUAAAUGAAGAACAAGAUUCAUUCUGAAGUGAAAAAGAGAAUACUGCAUACCCAAUUAUGCCAAACAUUGCCAAAUAUAAACCUGUUUUAUUCUAUUAUUCAAAACAUACCUGUGUCUUCCAAAAUGACACACACUUGAAUGAAAUUAAAUAUUUAUACAUGCAUAGCAUUUGUUAAAUAUUUGUGGCAGUCAUUCACUCGUUCUAAGAGAGAUACAUCUACUUUAUUUUACCAAUUUAGACAGAAGAAAAUCAAAUACAUAUAUAUAAAACAACAAAGUUUUAAGAACAGAGAGCGAUCCAUUGUCUAGAGUAAUCCUGUGAUGGAUGAUAAUCGUUUCGUCAGAUGGUCGUCCGCCAGGAGUUUAUCUCAUGUCGGGAUCACGACACACUAUAAGAAGCGUCCAGCCCAACGACCAAGCCAUGAGAGAGUCUCGUCCCUCCCACAGCACCAUAAGCCGUGUUGUGUUUGGUUACGUUAAUCCGCUAAUCGCCAUAUUUGGCUUUAGGUUGUAUGAGGUCAGACAAUGGUAUCUUGAGAAAAGGUUAGUUCUGAGAUAAACGCCAUAAAAUGUUUUAUUUUCCUAGUUUGGCACCUGAGGCCCUGCUGAGUUAUGUGUGUGUUUCCGUCUGACGGGGUAACCCUGUAGUAAUGAAAUAACAAGGUGCUGGAUAUAUGCGAAUCGCCCGUUACAGGUGUCAACCUCUAGUGUGCUGUAUGACUUAGGACAACCUGAUGAAUAGUACAGAUUACCCGUCCGUUAAUUUAAAUCUCUAUAUUAAGCGUUUCAUACACCAUGUAAAGGUCUAUACCACCAAUGUGUGCAGCAAAAACUUAAUUGAUAGAAGAAUGUCAAAUUAAAAGUUGUGGACUACAAGUCGAUUGCAAAUACAAGGUACACACAAAUUCAGUAUACUUGACAUGUCAAACUGAAGAUCGCUAAUAAAAUCAUUACUGCCCAUCUAAAACAAAGAUGGAUUACUCCGACAAGGUCGUUUUUAUCUUUAUAGCUCUGAUCUUAUGGUAAUGAGACAUAAAAUGAAUUUACUAUCCAUCUUGCUAAAAAUUCUUCAGCUCGGUUUUUAUAGAAUACAUUUAAAAAACGAAGAGAGAAGACAAUAUGAUGUGCACUAAAUGCUUACCUUUAGAUCAGAUAAUUUUAAUUCCUGAACAAGGGAACAAUCUAAUGACACUGAAUAAGUUUCUUUACAGAAGAGAGUCGAUGUGUCACUGGGCCGGACAUUACUUUCACCUGUUGACUAAGAGCCCCCUGGAUCUCAAGCGUGACGCUACCUGAAUGUCGGGGACCUUCUCAAAACCUACACAUGGUAAUCAACACUUUGCAUCAUACUACCAUGUUCAACGAUGAGAAAUAUUUUCAGAGGAAGUUAUAAAGAACCUUAUUAUCAUGUACAUAAUCUACUAAUCCUUAGCGUCUAGAGCAAGCGUACCGAUUAAAACACGAGUAUUUAGUUCACUGGGUAUGCCCAAUUCUAGCAAAUACAAUAUGUUGAUGCCAAUGCACAUUCCAAAAAAAAAAACUCUUGUCUGAAUUCAUAGUUUUAUUUAACAGAUACUUUAAACAUUAUCUACAGUUUAAACUCUCAUUGGAGAAGCCGCUCUGGUGUCCUGGACAAGUACAUAAUGACCAAAAAGUCUCAGAAAUUGAAAACCCAGGGAUCUCACAUGAUUACCAACAGGACAACACAGCGGCUUAGUGAAAUACCAAUAACAAUUUUAUACACAGAAGCAUUGUGUCCAUUGACACCUCUCUCACAGACUCUACAUACAUCAAUGAUAUUAAAACACCCUUGGAUUCUCAAUUCAGUCCUAUCAGACCUAGUCAGUCACAAGCCACUGAUCUGUCAAAAAUCAAGGCUAAAAAAAAAAGAGUAUAAAAA